rnacentral:rRNA from 1 species
AUUGAACGCUGGCGGCAGGCCUAACAAAUGCAAGUCGAGCGAGCGGCGGACGGGUGAGUAAUGUAUGGGGACUGCCCGAUAGAGGGGGAUAACUACUGGAAACGGUAGCUAAUAACGAAUACUAUCGGAUAACCCAUAUGGGAUUAGCUAGUAGGUGGGGUAAUGGCUCACCUAGGCGACGAUCCCUAGCUGGUCUGAGAGGAUGAUCAGCCACACUUGGACUGAGCCACGGCCCUUACUCCUACGGCGGCAGCAGUGGGGAAUAUUGCACAAUGGUCGCAAGCCUGAUGCAGCCAUGCCGCUUGUAUGAAGACGGCCCUAGGGUUGUACAGUACUGUCAGUCGGGAGGCGUUACCGACAGAAUAAGCACCGGCUAACUCCGUGCCAGCAGCCGCGGUAAUAC